UUCUUCACAAGGAAUUGUUCAAUCGAGAAGUAACAUGGAAAAAUGCAUCCUCAUUGCAAGGUAUUGUGAGACCGCCCAUUGAAUGUUGAAAUCCAAAUUCUUCCUCAGCUUUCUGAAGCAAUUCCUGGAACGAACUGUGAUUCAGGUAUGCAAUUGGAACUACGUAUCGUUUCUUCUCUGUUUCUCCGACGUAAACUGCUAAAUGUCCUUUUGGUACAUCUGAUAUUUGAUUCCGAGUAACAACAGAGUGUAGUUUGUGAAAUUGCUUCAAACUGGGAAUAAUUGACGGUAAACGAAUAAUACCCAUCACUAGAUCUUUGAUUUUGAAGAUAAGUUUUGGUAUUUGAUGGAUUGGAACUUGUUGAGAGGAAUAAUUUUAUGCACUGAAGGUGUUUGAUGAUUUGACUGACUUGUUCUAGUCUAUAUUUAUAGUGGCUGCUUGCAAAUUGCAAUAUGUUGCGUGCCACGGCAGGUCAAUUGGUUCCAUGUGAGAGAGGCCCUACUUCACAUGCUUCGUAUUCUUACUUGAUAUAAGUAGGUAGUGCGGUAUGGGUUGUAAUAGUUCCAAUGCGUGUUGCAUCGUAAAUAGGUGUUCUUAUAAUGGAAAAAUAUACGUAUAAGAUUUUAAUGUACGGAGCGCGUGCAAGGUUCUGGAAGUUGCGCAAAGACUAGAGUAAAGAGCUAAGACUGUAGUACACACUAACUAAUAGAGGUGCCAAAAUGAGCGGACUUUUGUCAAAUGAGUUAGAUCAAUUAAUGAGUUAAAUAAAGGUUAUAAUUCAACAUGAACUAACCUUUUGUAUAGUGAUAGCAAAUGUAAUUUUUAUAAAAAUACUAGUUUUAAUUUCGUAUAUUUGGAUUGCACCUUGACUGAUCACGUUGUACUAUUUUGAGUCUUUUGACACCUUAAUUUGAUAAGUUAUUUCGAAUAUUCUGUUGAGAUAAAUAGGUCAUUACUCAACGCGUUUAAACUUAGAUAGAUUGAGCGGAUUAUAUUUUGACACCUCUUAAGUUUUGGCCAAACUAAUUAGUUAGGACUUUGAACUAAUUAGUUGCCAAUUUUAGGGAGAACAAUGGUCCUUUUGGAACAUGAAUACAAUUACUUGAAGAGUUUGUUCUACUCUACCAUCCACUCGUUUUUAUCUAUUCCUGAAUUUUGGUGAUGACGGAUGGCCAUAAGAAGGUUAUAUCUAUACCACUAUUCUCCCAUUGUUUCCACUUUAGACAUGUAUAUGUUUAUCCAUAUAUAUAUUAUUGUUUGUGCCAAAAAUAAAAAUAGUAUCACAACAUGGGCACUUUGGCCAUGCUGCCUUCUUGUGAUCUUGUGGUUGGUGAUUGGUGAAUUAAGUUAAGAGUCCUUAGAAGUACGUGUCUAAACAUAAUAUUUGGUGCAAAUUCCAACCUCUAAAUUCAUUGGCUUACAAGCUUUUUUUACAUGGAAGUAACUGCCCACAUUCAUGUGAUUUGGUAAUGCUUAAGCCAUUAUUUCCACUUGUGCUAAUUAUUAUCGGUGUUGAAUUCUCUAAUUAGUUUUCCAACUAGUGGCAAAUGGCAACUUGAAUGAAAAUAGUAGUAUUUCUAUGAGCAGUAACUUUACUCCGUUAUUUAAAUGAUAAAAUGUAUAAGUACUUAAAUUUUUACUCCGUAGGAUACGUGAAAAUAUAUAUUUUGAGUGUGAGACUCGAACUCAAAAUUUCUAUAUGCUUUUAUAUCAUAUUGAAUGGUCUAAUAACUUAUAAGUAUAUAUUAGGUUCUGAACAAGAAAGGAAAUAUCUUGACCACUACUUCAAUAUAGAAGUGCUUUGACAUCUUCUAUACUAAAUUUGUGACCCAAAUCUAGACAAUUGAACAAGCUCACUAUACUGAACUUUUGAACUUUAAUCUUUUGUGCAAAACUAAUUUCUGUCCACAAUUUAUGCUUGAUGGUCAACAAAAACAUUUGCCUAGUGAAUUUUCCGAAACAAGGAUAUAUUUUCUUUUAAAAAUUAAGUGGGGUCAAAAAAAUCAAGGCCACCUCUUUUAGGGUGAUUUGUGAACUAAACCCCAAAUUGGUUAGUAUAUUUAUUGUUCUUUAUGCUAAGUGUUUCUUCAUUUUUUGUUUUUUUUUUGGUUUCACAAACGGUGUUUGAAGCCCGUAUUGGAGUUUUGUGUAAAUCUGGAUCGUGCACUGUAGCUUCAACAUGAUUUUCUCCAUAUCCAGGCUGAAAAUCUCAUCACUACAUCACAAUCCAUGUUGGUACCAAGUAUUCCUUCUUGAUAAUGAAACAGAAUGGUUGCUAACUAGUUUAAGUUGACCUCACAGGCUGUUCUAAGAUUUCAAUUUAUUGAGGUUUAAGGUUUGAGGACAAUGAAGAAUGUUAAAAAAAUUGAUUGUAUAUUUUGCUUUCCAAUCCUCUGAACAAUAUUAACCAGAGGAAACUUUGAAGAUAUAAAAUUUACAGCUCUUGCGUGACAAGAGGAAAAAAAUAAUCAAAAUAAAAGAAAGAACACUUGUUCAUAUCAUAAACAAGUGUUCAAUCGAGAAGUGACAUGAAAAAAUGCAUCCUCAUUGCAAGGUAUUGUGAGACCCCCCAUUGAAUGUUGAAACCCAAAUUCUUCCUCUGCUUUCUGAAGCAAUUCCUGGAACGAAAUUUGAUUCAAGUAUGCAAUUGGAACCACGUAUCGCUUCUUGUUGUCUGUUUCUCCUACGUAAACCGCAAAAUGUCCUUUUGGUACAUUAUUUGAAAUUUGAUUCCUCAUAAGAACAGAGUGUAGUUUGUGGAAUUGCUUCACACUUGAAAUAAUGGAUGGCAAACGAAUAAUACCCAUAACUAGAUAGUGUUAUGACUGAAAACUGCUACUUGUUGUGAAGAAUAAUCCACUUUAAGGUGUUAGAUAAUUUGACUGACUUGUUCUGAAGUUUGUAAAUUUAAGGUUAAUAUUUAUAGUGAUCUGCUUGCAGGUCAGUUGUCCUUGUGGACUAUAUAAUUGAUGGCAUGUGAAAAAGGGCCUACUUCACAUGGUGAGUACAUUCCCAAUUCCCAAUUGAUCAGCAAUAUAGUAUUCUUUCCAAGUAUAGCAUAGUGAUGAGGGUGUCCAUAAAGUGGUAAUGUAUUUACCACUAUUCUCCCAUUGUUUCCACUUUGGACAAUACAAUAUACAUUAUCUCCCCCCCACCAAAUUGCAACUCCCAUGCUGCCUUAUUGUUGUUGAGGUUCUCCACGAAAGUGCAAGUCCUUACAAGUACAAGUAGUUUCUGAAGUCACUACGUAUAUAUUUCUAUAUUCCAUAGUUAUGAAGUCAUUAUUUAUCUCUGCUUUAUAUCAUUUCAAAAUGUGUGAUCUAUCUUUCAACAAAUUUGAAUUGAUAAACAACAUAUUUUUUAAACUCAAAAUGAGUACUAUCACGUUGAGCUUCAUACUCCCUGGUCAGUGGUGUAAGCAAUUUUUUUUUAAGCAGUGUCAUCAUUUAAAGGACAUCGAGGAGAAUCAAUAAAACUUUUGCUUUAAGCCUCCAAAAAUUUGAGGCCUCAUAAAUAUGGAUAAUAUUUUUGAAUAGGUAAUCUCUCCGUUGAUUUUGUGAAAGAGAAGACCUACAUAAAUCUUAUUAAUGUGACUUACAACAAAAGGAAAUGAAAAGGACGAAAAGAUAAUUUCUAAAUGUGAACAAAAACAAAUUUUCGUAUUAUUAAGUUUGAACAAACCACCAAAUGAUUUAAUUUAUUAAGUAACGAUUAAACAAUUAAUAAAAUAAAUUGCUUAAAUUGACCAAUAUCCACUACCUGUCUGUAUAUUCUUUUUGUACAUAAUAUAAUUCUCCGCGUAAAUUGGAUUUUAAAUUUAUAAACACACAUUAAUUAUAUUCGGCAUCGAGUUACUACGAAGAAGUUGCCAAAAGGAAAAGAAAUUAUUAGGCACAUUUAUGAUAAGCCAUUAUUGUGUGUGUCUGCAGAUUGACGAUGGCUCAUAAAUUUGUUAGACUUUUUCCGCGUUUUAAAAGAUGCUUAGAUGGAUUUUGUGGGAAAUAAAAUGAGGAAUGCGAAAAUAAAAUAGUUUAGACAUGUGAACGAAAGGUGCAUUGAUGCACCAAUUAAGAGGUUUAUAUGAGAGGUUAAAAAAACAGGGCCAGAGGGAGUAUUAACUUAUACUCUUCCGUCAACUUUUAAUUGUCAUAGUUUCCUUUUUUAGAGUCAAACGAUAAUAAUCCUGACUAAUAUUUUAUGAUGUAAUCUUUCAUCAAAUUAUAGUACUUUUCGUAUAGUUUUUGAAUAUUUAAAUUUUUUGUUUAAAAUAUCGAAUAAAUUUAAUUUAAUUUAACUUUAAAAAUUAAUUAAACUGACUUUCGAAAAGAUAACAUGACAAUUAAAAAUGAAAUGAGGGAGUACUUAAUGAUACUUUCUCUGUUUUAUGAUAAGAGGUUUUUAGCUUGAACACAUUUCUUAAGAAAAUUACUUAUUUUAAAAAAAAUGAAAAGUCCUCCUUUCAUUUUAUAUUACUUGUCCACAUUACUAAGAUAUGUAUCCCAAAUUACUUGUUAAUUUACAAAACAAAGAUAUAGUUUUUUUUUUCAUUUUACCUUUAAAAUUAAUUCUUUGAAAGUAUAAUUAAAUAUUGUAAAUUUCCAAGAAGGCUCAUCUACCAUUAAUAUUUGUAGUGGUGUAUAAGGCACAACCUAGAGUGCAGUGCUAAAAAAGUUUAAAGGGUAAAUUAAUAAAAAUAUUCUUCUUAGUUGUGAUUUCUCGGGAUGAAUGGACUAUUUUUACUAACUCAUCCUUAAUCAAAUAACUACAUUAAAAAAAAGCAACUCCUCGAAGAUUUCUUAAUUAUGUAAAAUUCCAUUUAUUUAAAUAAGAGUAAAUCGAAAGAAAAAAAUUAAUGUCUCUAUAAUUAUAUGAAACACAACUUAUUUAAAACACAAUAAAAAAAAUUAAAGUUCACUUAUUUUGAAAUAGGAUGGGGAAAGUAUUAUUUACUACUCAUAAUUAAAAUUUCAAAAAUCAAACUUUUAAAUUUUAAUGGUGAACUCAAAUGUGAGAAGCAUAAAGUGUGUGUUUUUUUUUAUUUUAUAUAUUUGAAAUAUAUAUAUAUAAAAUUUCUAGAAAUCACAAUAAUUAACAUUUUAUAAAGAAAUUCACCUCAAAAGAAAAUUUGAUGCCCUCGAAAAUUCAACUGUACCAUGUAAAUUGAGUUGUUAUUAAUAAAACAAGUGCAAUAUUUUUCGAAGACAGUGAAAAAUUGUAAAAGAAUUUGAUUGUAUUCUAAUUCAGUGAACAUAAAUUUACAAGCAAGAGGAAAAAAUGAAUGAAAGAGAAAAUCAGUAAUAUAUUAAGGCUGCUUCUUCUUCAUAAGGAAUUGUUCAAUCGAGAAGUGACAUGAAAAAAUGCGUCUUCAUUGCAGGGUAUCGUGAGACCACCCAUUGAAUGUUGAAAUCCAAAUUCUUCCUCUGAUUUCUGAAGCAAUUCCUGGAAUGAAGUGUGAUUCAGGUAUGCAAUUGGAACUACGUAUCUCUUCUUCUCUGUUUCUCCUACGUAAACUGCAAAGUGUCC
rnacentral:lncRNA from 1 species